rnacentral:tRNA from 1 species
AACGAAGUAGUUCAAUUGGUAAGAACAUUGGAAUCAUAAUCCAAAAGUUGUAGGUUCAAGUCCUAUCUUCGUUA